rnacentral:rRNA from 2 species
ACCUGCCUGUAAGACUGGGAUAACUCCGGGAAACCGGGGCUAAUACCGGAUGGUUGUUUGAACCGCAUGGUUCAGACAUAAAAGGUGGCUUCGGCUACCACUUACAGAUGGACCCGCGGCGCAUUAGCUAGUUGGUGAGGUAACGGCUCACCAAGGCGACGAUGCGUAGCCGACCUGAGAGGGUGAUCGGCCACACUGGGACUGAGACACGGCCCAGACUCCUACGGGAGGCAGCAGUAGGGAAUCUUCCGCAAUGGACGAAAGUCUGACGGAGCAACGCCGCGUGAGUGAUGAAGGUUUUCGGAUCGUAAAGCUCUGUUGUUAGGGAAGAACAAGUGCCGUUCAAAUAGGGCGGCACCUUGACGGUACCUAACCAGAAAGCCACGGCUAACUACGUGCCAGCAGCCGCGGUAAUACGUAGGUGGCAAGCGUUGUCCGGAAUUAUUGGGCGUAAAGGGCUCGCAGGCGGUUUCUUAAGUCUGAUGUGAAAGCCCCCGGCUCAACCGGGGAGGGUCAUUGGAAACUGGGGAACUUGAGUGCAGAAGAGGAGAGUGGAAUUCCACGUGUAGCG